rnacentral:rRNA from 1 species
AUUGAACGCUGGCGGCAGGCCUAACACAUGCAAGUCGAGCGGAUGAAGGGAGCUUGCUCCUGGAUUCAGCGGCGGACGGGUGAGUAAUGCCUAGGAAUCUGCCUGGUAGUGGGGGAUAACGUCCGGAAACGGGCGCUAAUACCGCAUACGUCCUGAGGGAGAAAGUGGGGGAUCUUCGGACCUCACGCUAUCAGAUGAGCCUAGGUCGGAUUAGCUAGUUGGUGGGGUAAAGGCCUACCAAGGCGACGAUCCGUAACUGGUCUGAGAGGAUGAUCAGUCACACUGGAACUGGGACACGGUCCAGGCUCCUACGGGAGGCAGCAGUGGGGAAUGUUGGACAGUGGGCGAGAGCCUUGUCCAGCCAUGCCGCGUGUGUGAAGGAGGUCUUCGGAUUGUAAAGCACUUUAAGUUGGGGGGAAGGGCAGUAAGUUAAUACCUUGCUGUUUUGACGUUACCAACAGAAUAAGCACCGGCUAACUUCGUG